rnacentral:rRNA from 1 species
UACAGAGGGUGCAAGCGUUAAUCGGAAUUACUGGGCGUAAAGCGCGCGUAGGUGGUUUGUUAAGUUGGAUGUGAAAUCCCCGGGCUCAACCUGGGACCUGCAUUCGAUACUGGCGAACUUGAGUAUGAUAGAGGGGGGUGGAAUUCCAGGUGUAGCGGUGAAAUGCGUAGAUAUCUGGAGGAACAUCAGUGGCGAAGGCGAGUCCCUGGACGACACCUGACACUGAGGCACGAAAGCCGGGGGAGCAAACAGGAUUAGAUACCCUUGUAGU